UUUUUUUUUUCUGAUUGGCUGUGAGUAGAUGCUGAGUCUUUCCAUCCCAUGGAAUAAGAACUUGUGCAAUACUUUCGGGCCCCAUGAAAGGACUGUGGUUGUACAGGAGAUGCAUAAGUACAGCGCACCCCCGAUGCGGACCUGGUUGUCAUGGUGACGAGGACACAACUUGAUGAAUGCGCCACCAUGUCCAUGGGAAGCAUCCAACUCCCCGAUGGUCAAGAAACAGAGAAUACCGAUGCGCUGUAUGUUCCACGCAACAGGCCCCGCAAGGCUCCAGGUGGGACAGCUGACGUUCCAGGCAUCCUACCUGCAACAAGAGAGAGAUUCACCCGAUGAAGUUCAACUAUACUGACGGGUGUCUGCGUGGCAAUCAACAAAGUACAGCUGAUAGCCGAUAGUAAACGAGCCAGCACAAGAGUGGUGUCCAAAGCACUGUGGCUGCCUUACAGGUAUCCACAACACAGAAUACAUAUUCAUUCAGAUGUGAGCUGGACAUGCCCCACAGCACCUUAUGCCUCGUAAGGUUUGUCAGUGUUACAUCUGUCUCCUGAAGUGUUUACAUCUGUCUCCAGAAUAUGCCCAUAUAUGUUUUUGUAGAAGCGUUUUCCAGUUUAACAUUGUACAUUUUCUCUGAUCAGUAAUUAAUGUUAUUAUUUAUGAGUCACACACAUUUCCUAGGUAUGUUUGAAAAAAACCCUCAUUUUCAAUAUGG